UACGAGAGGUCCAAACGUUAUUCGGAAUCACUGGGCUUACAGAGUUCGUAGGCGGUCCAGAAAGUGGGGUGUGAAAGCCCUCGGCUCAACCGAGGAACUGCGCUCCAAACUACUGGGCUAGAGGAAGAUAGAGGUGAGCAGAACUGAUGGUGGAGCGGUGAAAUGCGUUGAUAUCAUCAGGAACACCGGUGGCGAAAGCGGCUUACUGGGUCUCUUCUGACGCUGAGGUACGAAAGCUAGGGUAGCGAACGGG
rnacentral:rRNA from 1 species